rnacentral:rRNA from 1 species
GUAGUCAUAUGCUUGUCUCAAAGAUUAAGCCAUGCAUGUCUAAGUAUAAGCAAUUAUACCGUGAAACUGCGAAUGGCUCAUUAAAUCAGUUAUCGUUUAUUUGAUAGUACCUUACUACUUGGAUAACCGUGGUAAUUCUAGAGCUAAUACAUGCUUAAAACCCCAACUUCGGGAGGGGUGUAUUUAUUAGAUAAAAAACCAACGCCCUUCGGGGCUUCUUGGUGAUUCAUGAUAACUUUUCGGAUCGCAUGGCCUUGCGCCGGCGACGGUUCAUUCAAAUUUCUGCCCUAUCAACUUUCGAUGGUAAGGUAUUGGCUUACCAUGGUUUCAACGGGUAACGGGGAAU